UUGGAUCACGGACUCUGCUCCUCUCCCUUCAUGGCGUUCCCGCCGUCCUGGGGGGACGAAGGCGUCCUCUCUUUCCGUUCAGGCGGCUCGAUGGGCGAAGGUCGUCGCCUCUUGUUCGGUCUGGCAGCUUUGAUAGACGAGGGCGUCGUCUCUUCUCUGGCCGCUUUGAUCGGCGACGAGACUCCGUUCUUGGCCAGCGAACCCCUCUUUCUCUUUUGCGAGAGCUCUAGCCGCAGGAAAUCUGACAAGCUAUCUAGGGUUUUAUUCGUUCUAGCAGAAUUUUUCUAUUUCUUGAAGGAUUAGAUCCUUCUUAAGAAGGAUUUCGUUAACAUUUGACCUUCUUUAUCAUCCUGCUCUAGAAUUUGGUUUUCUUGUGUGUUUUCUUUUCUUUUCUUCAUCCUGCCCUAGAAUUUGGUUUUCUUGUGUGUUCUUUUUCUUUUACUCGUUUGAUGACGACUUAUGAAUCCUCGAAUUGAGAUCAAUGAAUUUCUGCGGACGUGUUGGUAUCUCGAAUUGGUUUAAUGCUACUGAUGGGUGAUACUGUAAUGUUAUGGCUAGUAUCUUUCUCAUUAUUUCUUUUUGGUUGUGUUGAUAUUUUUAUGAUAUGCUAUUUU
rnacentral:lncRNA from 1 species